rnacentral:rRNA from 1 species
GACGGAGGAUGCAAGCGUUAUCCGGAAUUAUUGGGCGUAAAGCGUCCGCAGGUGGACAUACAAGUCUGCUGUCAAAGUGCAGAGCUUAACUCUGUAAAGGCGGUGGAAACUGUAGGUCUUGAGUAUGGUAGGGGUAGAGGGAAUUCCCGGUGUAGCGGUGAAAUGCGUAGAUAUCGGGAAGAACACCAGUGGCGAAGGCGACUUCCUGGCCUGUUCUUGACGCUGAGGCGCGAAAGCUAGGGUAGCAAACGGG